GGGCCCUGAAGCUGCUCUCCCGGUUCAUGGCUGCGGACUGAUGACGCGGCUCGCCUUCCACCGGGUCACGUGACGGAGCGAACCAAUCAGAGGGCGAGGAGAGGCGGACUGUCGGCAGAUUGGGCUGUCAAUAAAGAUUGUUGAAAUGGAAAUGAAAGAACAAUUACCAGCGGCUGUGAUGUGGCAGGGGGCGGGGUUCAGCCCGCCACGUGUUACAGGAAAUGGGUGGGGCUUCCAGGGGCAGCAGCUGGGCGGGGCUGAACUUGUCAAUAAAUAAUAAAUCAGAUUAUAAAUACAUAAUACCUCACUGAAAAUAAUAAUAAUAAUAAUCAAUUAAUAUAAAU